rnacentral:rRNA from 1 species
UCAAGAAAUUAAGGGCUUAUGGUGGAUACCUUGGCAUUCAGAAGCGAUGAAGGACGCGGUUACCUGCGAUAAGCUUCGGGGAGCUGGAAACAAGCUUUGAUCCGGAGGUUUCCGAAUGAGGCAACUCCAAGAACUUCUUAUUGAAUAUAUAGAUAAGAAAGAGCAAACCCAGGGAAUUGAAACAUCUUAGUACCUGGAGGAAAAGAAAGUAAAAACGAUUCCCUUAGUAGCGGCGAGCGAAAUGGGAACAGCCUAAACUAAUCAAUGAUUAGGGUUGUGGGACAGUGGUUUCGGAUAGGAUUAGUUAGAUGAAGUGUUUGGAAUGACACACCAAAGAGAGUGAAAGUCUCGUAAUCGAAAACUAUGAAUACUGUACUGUAUCCCGAGUAGCAUGGGGCACGUGAAAUUCCGUGUGAAUCUGCGAGGACCACCUCGUAAGGCUAAAUAUUCCUGAAUGACCGAUAGUGAAACAGUACCGCGAGGGAAAGGUGAAAAGAACCCCGGGAGGGGAGUGAAAAGAACAUGAAACCAUAAGCUUACAAGCAGUAGGAGAACGACUUAACGUUUGACUACGUUCCUGUUGAAGAAUGAGCCGGCGACUUAUAGGUAAUGGCUUGGUUAAGGUAGUAAAUACCGGAGCCACAGCGAAAGCGAGUCUGAACAGGGCAUUUGUCAUUAUUUAUAGACCCGAACCCGGAUGAUCUAACCAUGGCCAGGUUGAAGCUUAGGUGAUACUAAGUGGAGGACCCAACCGACUGAUGUUGAAAAAUCACCGGAUGAGUUGUGGUUAGGGGUGAAAUGCCAAUCGAAUCCGGAGCUAGCUGGUUCUCCUCGAAAUGCGUUUUGGCGCAGCGGUUAGUGUUAUAAUUUAGGGGUAAAGCACUGUUUCGGUGCGGGCUGGUAAAACGGUACCAAAUCGAGGCAAACUAAGAAUACUAAAUGAAUAACUAACCAGUAAGACUGUGGGGGAUAAGCUUCAUUGUCAAGAGGGAAACAGCCCAGACCACCAGCUAAGGCCCCUAAAUAAUUGCUAAGUGAUAAAGGAGGUGGGAAUGCUUAGACAACCAGGAGGUUUGCUUAGAAGCAGCAACCCUUUAAAGAGUGCGUAAUAGCUCACUGGUCGAGUAGGCCUGCGCCGAAAAUGAACGGGGCUAAGUAAUUUGCCGAAGCUGUGGGAUACAUAUUGUAUCGGUAGAGGAGCGUUCUGUUGUAGGUUGAAGCAUUAGCGAAAGCGGAUGUGGACGAAGCAGAAGUGAGAAUGUCGGCUUGAGUAGCGAAAACAUUGGUGAGAAUCCAAUGCCCCGAAAACCUAAGGUUUCCUUCGGAAGGCUCGUCCGCGGAGGGUAAGUCAGGACCUAAGGCGAGGCCGAGAGGCGUAGUCGAUGGACAACAGGUUAAUAUUCCUGUACUAUUUUUUACUGACAACGAGGGACGGAGAAGGCUAGGCUAGCCGGAUGUUGGUUACCGGUUUAAGCGUUCGAGGUGUUGAGAAGUAGAGAAAAUACUUUGAGCUGAGGCGUGAGUACGAGAUGCUACGGCAUUUAAGUAGUUGAUGUCAUACUUCCAAGAAAAGCUUGCACUGUCAUAAGUAAAAAAUACCUGUACUCUAAACCGACACAGGUGGGUAAGUAGAGAAUACUAAGGGGCGCGAGAUAACUCUCUCUAAGGAACUCGGCAAAAUAACCCCGUAACUUUGGGAGAAGGGGUACCUUGAGAAAGGUUGCAAUAACCAGGUCCAAGCGACUGUUUACCAAAAACACAGGUCUCCGCUAAGUCGUAAGACGACGUAUGGGGGCUGACGCCUGCCCAGUGCCGGAAGGUUAAAGAAGUUGGUUCAAUGCUGAUAACUGAAGCCCCGGUGAACGGCGGCCGUAACUAUAACGGUCCUAAGGUAGCGAAAUUCCUUGUCGGGUAAGUUCCGACCCGCACGAAAGGCGUAACGAUUUGGACACUGUCUCGGAGAGAGACUCGGUGAAAUAGACUUGUCUGUGAAGAUGCGGACUACCUGCAC